UACCAGUCGAUGUGGGAGUUCUGACCCGCUC
rnacentral:piRNA from 1 species